AUCUGAUGAUGAGGGCAACUUGCGCACAACCUCUUAUACCUCUCCCAUUACUCAUACAAGCUCUCACCAUGUUGUUGCCUAAUUCCAGAGAUAUCCUUCCUGAUU
rnacentral:snoRNA from 1 species